GUUAACGUCAUAUCCGCCCCUGUGGUUCUUAACAUUUCCUAAACCGGCCGGAAAAGGUAACCCCGUGAAUUUGAGGGGGCGGAGAUUUUUUCCCUGUGGCCGUUGAGGAGGCGCCAUGACGGAGCCGAAGGUAUUGGUGAUUGAUGGACGUGGCCAUUUGCUGGGUCGCCUUGCAGCCAUUGUGGCUAAGCAAGUGUUGCUGGGGCGCAAAGUUGUGGUUGUGCGAUGUGAAGGGAUUAACAUAUCUGGCAACUUCUACCGCAACAAA